rnacentral:rRNA from 1 species
CACGUAGGGUGCGAGCGUUGUCCGGAAUUAUUGGGCGUAAAGAGCUCGUAGGCGGUGUGUCGCGUCGGGAGUGAAAUCCACUGGCUUAACUGGUGGCUUGCUUUCGAUACGGGCAGACUGGAGGUAUGCAGGGGAGAACGGAAUUCCUGGUGUAGCGGUGAAAUGCGCAGAUAUCAGGAGGAACACCGGUGGCGAAGGCGGGUCUCUGGGCCGAUACUGACGCUGAGGAGCGAAAGCGUGGGGAGCGAACAGG